rnacentral:rRNA from 1 species
UGAGGAACAUGACCUUCGGCGGGGGAUAGCCGGCCCAACGGCCGGGUAAUACCGCGUACGACCUUGGA